ACCAGUUUAAUGCCAGAUAAUGUUGACUGUUAUGAAGAAAACUGGAUGGAUUAGAUCUUGCACUUUUUUCCUAGGAAUGAUUCCAAUCUCAGCAGGGAGUAAAGUAAAUGCUAGGCCAGUGGGGAGACUGGUGUCCUGUGAGGGCAACACGGGCGUGCCUGGGAGCUGUGCUAGGUAGGAAAACCAACCCUGCGCUGCAGCCAGAGAGAUGCCUCCCCUCUUGUCUUCCAUGGCAACAUCACCCUUUGCUCUCAGAUCUUGCACACCCAGCACCUGGGAAUCUCAGGAGGGAGCACAUCACCCUGGGUUUUGAGACUCCAUCUGCCAACCUUCUCCCUCUAAGUAAGUGUAGUCAAUGUCCUACAUGUGCUUGGAAUCUCCACAGCCCUGAUGACCAAUCGCCAUGUGAGGGUGUCUCCUAGCAACACUCAGGUCAUGUGUGAGCAGGUGUACAGGACCACCAGAUACCAAGAGGAAUGGGGCAGAAUGUACCAGGAGUUUGUGUGACAGUAAGACCAGACCAUGUGAGCACCCUCUGUGUUCCCAAGUACACUGGGAACAGAGGGUGUGAUGGUUAACGUUAUGCAUCAACUUGGCCAGAGUACCCAGAUAUUUGGUCAAACACUAGUCUAGAUGCUGCUGUAAAGGUAUUUUUUAGAUAAGAGUAAUAUUUAAAUCAGUAGUCUUUGAAUAAAGCUGAUUGCCUCCAUAACGUGGGUGCACCUCCUCCAAUGAAUUGGAUGAGCCUUAUGAGAAAAAACAGUGACUUCCCCGAGGAAGAGGGAAUUCUGCCUGCAAUCUGCCUUUCAGCUCGAGCCGCAACAUCAACUCCUCCCUGGGUCUCCAGCCUGCAGGCUACAGACAUAGCAGAGGAUGAACAAGGAUACCUAAGUCACAUCUGGAUAACUCCCAUCCAUCCUUCAGAUUUAGUUCCAACGUCGCCUCCAAGGGCCUCACAGAGAUCCUGACCUCUAGUGACAAGCAACCAAACAAGAUCACAACAUGAAUGCAAUGACUGCUCAAGGAAGGGACAUGCCUCAGUCAUCUCCGAAUGUAUCUAGUAUCUGACGGACUGCUAGGCUUUCAGAAAUUCUCUGUUUAUCUGGGUGACAUGAGGUUUCUCUGAGCCACUUCCUGCAAGUCAGAUGGAAGGAAACCUUACUUAUUGGGAGUGUCAUGACUCACGGGACAGAUUCAAAGUCUGCUUUCGGCCUAGAACUUCUGAAUGUGUCUCUCCAGGAAGCUCUGCCUCUUCACAGCUGACUGGGACGUCCUUAGGGUGUGUGAAUAAUAAGGACAUGUUUUAAAUAACGGGAACCAAUGUGUGCUUUAAGCCACAUGAAGGUGAACAGUGCGCUGACAGGACAUGGACCACAAUCCAGGCCAGGAAGGUGGUCAGGCCCUGGUGGGAACUGUUGGGACUGAGACCAAAUGACCACUCUGCCUUUGAGGUUCCAACUUCUCCAUUCUCCAGUGCACAUGGCGGAAAACAGCCACCCACGGCUCUGGAAUUGUCGGGACACAUGGCUUUGUACCUUGGCCUCUGUCUUCAGCAAGCACCCCGUCCUAGUUCCAAAUGCCUGGGGAAGGAACCUGACUGGCUGACUUGCGUCAGUGCCUCCCAUCCCUGCCUAAUCACCUGGCCAGAGACACAGGAUCACCCCACUAACUGGGGCUUAGGUAUGCUUAAGAAAGCUCACCGGGAGCUGAGCAGACCAUCAGGAGCGUUUAUCUCGACAAGGAUGGGAGAGAGAUCUCUCGAGCCCUCUGUGUAGACACAAGCUGCUCUUUGCUAGCAGGUGUGGGGGAUGACUGGGAUCCUCCUGUCUUGUCUUCCCCGUAAAUGGUUAUAAUUUAUCAUUCUAGAUGCCUUUUAAAACAGCACAGGAAAGAAAGGCCAACUGAGCAGACACAGAAUAUGGAAAAUGAAUUCUCUAUUCUGUAAACACAACCAACUUCAGUGUAAACAAGGAGAUAUGGCAUAACAUAAAUUGCUAUUAUCUUCAGCACAUGCUAUGCUUAA